rnacentral:rRNA from 1 species
AACGCGAAGAACCUUACCUACCCUUGACAUCCACAGAAGCCUGUAGAGAUACGGGCGUGCCGAAAGGAACUGUGAGACAGGUGCUGCAUGGCUGUCGUCAGCUCGUGUUGUGAGAUGUUGGGUUAAGUCCCGUAACGAGCGCAACCCUUAUCCUUAGUUGCCAACAUGUAAUGGUGGGGACUCUAAGGAGACUGCCGGUGAUGAACCGGAGGAAGGCGGGGACGACGUCAAGUCAUCAUGGCCUUUAUGGGUAGGGCUACACACGUGCUACAAUGGGCAGUACAGAGAGUCGCCAACCUGCGAAGGGGAGCCAAUCUCAGAAAGCUGCUCGUAGUCCGGAUUGGAGUCUGCAACUCGACUCCAUGAAGUUGGAAUCGCUAGUAAUCGCGAAUCAGAAUGUCGCGGUGAAUACGUUCCCGGGCCUUGUACACACCGUAGUAC